UACGGCCAUAUAACGUUGAAACACCGUAAUCCCAUACAAUCACCGAAGUUAAGCAAGUUCGAGCCUGGUCGGUACUGAGAUGAGUGACCGCUUGGGAAUAUCAGGCGCUGUAUG